rnacentral:rRNA from 2 species
AAUACAUGCAAGUCGAGCGAAUGGAUUAAGAGCUUGCUCUUAUGAAGUUAGCGGCGGACGGGUGAGUAACACGUGGGUAACCUGCCCAUAAGACUGGGAUAACUCCGGGAAACCGGGGCUAAUACCGGAUAACAUUUUGAACCGCAUGGUUCGAAAUUGAAAGGCGGCUUCGGCUGUCACUUAUGGAUGGACCCGCGUCGCAUUAGCUAGUUGGUGAGGUAACGGCUCACCAAGGCAACGAUGCGUAGCCGACCUGAGAGGGUGAUCGGCCACACUGGGACUGAGACACGGCCCAGACUCCUACGGGAGGCAGCAGUAGGGAAUCUUCCGCAAUGGACGAAAGUCUGACGGAGCAACGCCGCGUGAGUGAUGAAGGCUUUCGGGUCGUAAAACUCUGUUGUUAGGGAAGAACAAGUGCUAGUUGAAUAAGCUGGCACCUUGACGGUACCUAACCAGAAAGCCACGGCUAACUACGAGUGGCCAGCAGCCGCGGAAAUACGUAGGUGGCAAGCGUUAUCCGGAAUUAUUGGCCGUAAAGCGCGCGGCAGGUGGUUUCUUACGUCUAGAUGUGAAACCCCACGGGCUCAAUCCGUCGAAGGGUCAUUGGAAACUGGGAGACUUGAGAUGCAGAAGGAGGAGAGAGCAAUUCCAUGUGUAGCGGUGAAAUGUAUAGAGAUGUACUAGCAACGCCAUUGACGAAGGCGACUUUCUGGKCUGUAACUGACACUGAGGCGCGAAAGCGUGGGGAAGCAAACAGGCAUUAGAUACCCUGGUAGUCCAUCGCCGUAAACGAUGAGUGCUACAGUGUUAGAGGGCACUUUCCGCCCUUUAGUGACUGAAGUUAACCGCAGUUAAGCACUGCCGCCUGCAGGGAGUACGGCCGCAAGGCUGAAACUCAAAGGAAUUGACGGGGGCCCGCACAAGCGGUGGAGCAUGUGGUUCAAUUCGAAGCAACGCGAAGAACCUUACCAGGUCUUGACAUCCUCUGAAAACCCUAGAGAUAGGGCUUCUCCUUCGGGAGCAGAGUGACAGGUGGUGCAUGGUUGUCGUCAGCUCGUGUCGUGAGAUGUUGGGUUAAGUCCCGCAACGAGCGCAACCCUUGAUCUUAGUUGCCAUCAUUAAGUUGGGCACUCUAAGGUGACUGCCGGU